AGCGAACGCUGGCGGCAGGCCUAACACAUGCAAGUCGAACGAACUCUUCGGAGUUAGUGGCGGACGGGUGAGUGACACGUGGGAACGUGCCUUUAGGUUCGGAAUAACUCAGGGAAACUUGUGCUAAUACCGAAUGUGCCCUUCGGGGGAAAGAUUUAUCGCCUUUAGAGCGGCCCGCGUCUGAUUAGCUAGUUGGUGAGGUAAAGACUCACCAAGGCGACGAUCAGUAGCUGGUCUGAGAGGAUGAUCAGCCACAUUGGGACUGAGACACGGCCCAAAAUCCUACGGGAGGCAGCAGUGGGGAAUCUUGCGCAAUGGGCGAAAGCCUGACGCAGCCAUGCCGCGUGAAUGAUGAAGGUCUUAGGAUUGUAAAAUUCUUUCACCGGGGACGAUAAUGACGGUACCCGGAGAAGAAGCCCCGGCUAACUUCGUGCCAGCCGCCGCCGUAA
rnacentral:rRNA from 1 species